rnacentral:tRNA from 1 species
GCGUUGGUAGUUCAAUGAUAGAAUUCUCACCUCCCAUGCGGGAGACCCAGGUUCAAUCCCAGCCAACACA